AGGGAAUUUUUGGUUGGGGGGGGGUUUAUAUAUAUAUUGUUGUUUUUUUUCUAGAUGAACGCUGGCGGCAGGCCUAACACAUGCAAGUCGAGCGGAAACGAGUUAUCUGAACCUUCGGGGAACGAUAACGGCGUCGAGCGGCGGACGGGUGAGUAAUGCCUAGGAAAUUGCCCUGAUGUGGGGGAUAACCAUUGGAAACGAUGGCUAAUACCGCAUAAUACCUACGGGUCAAAGAGGGGGACCUUCGGGCCUCUCGCGUCAGGAUAUGCCUAGGUGGGAUUAGCUAGUUGGUGAGGUAAUGGCUCACCAAGGCGACGAUCCCUAGCUGGUCUGAGAGGAUGAUCAGCCACACUGGAACUGAGACACGGUCCAGACUCCUACGGGAGGCAGCAGUGGGGAAUAUUGCACAAUGGGCGCAAGCCUGAUGCAGCCAUGCCGCGUGUGUGAAGAAGGCCUUCGGGUUGUAAAGCACUUUCAGUCGUGAGGAAGGUAGUGUAGUUAAUAGCUGCAUUAUUUGACGUUAGCGACAGAAGAAGCACCGGCUAACUCCGUGCCAGCAGCCGCGGUAAUACGGAGGGUGCGAGCGUUAAUCGGAAUUACUGGGCGUAAAGCGCAUGCAGGUGGUUUGUUAAGUCAGAUGUGAAAGCCCGGGGCUCAACCUCGGAAUAGCAUUUGAAACUGGCAGACUAGAGUACUGUAGAGGGGGGUAGAAUUUCAGGUGUAGCGGUGAAAUGCGUAGAGAUCUGAAGGAAUACCGGUGGCGAAGGCGGCCCCCUGGACAGAUACUGACACUCAGAUGCAAAAGAGCGA
rnacentral:rRNA from 1 species